rnacentral:rRNA from 1 species
UACGUAGGGGGCAAGCGUUGUCCGGAUUUAUUGGGCGUAAAGCGCGUGUAGGCGGCCACGCAGGUCCGCUGUGAAAACUCGAGGCUCAACCUCGAGCUGUCGGUGGAAACCGCGUGGCUAGAGUCCGGAAGAGGGGACUGGAAUUCCCGGUGUAGCGGUGGAAUGCGCAGAUAUCGGGAGGACACCCGUGGCGAAGGCGGGUCCCUGGGACGGUAUUGACGCUGAGACG